rnacentral:rRNA from 1 species
CCUACGGGAGGCAGCAGUGGGGAAUCUUCCGCAAUGGACGAAAGUCUGACGGAGCAACGCCGCGUGAGUGAUGACGGCCUUCGGGUUGUAAAGCUCUGUUAAUCGGGACGAAAGGCCUUCUUGCGAAUAGUGAGAAGGAUUGACGGUACCGGAAUAGAAAGCCACGGCUAACUACGUGCCAGCAGCCGCGGUAAUACGUAGGUGGCAAGCGUUGUCCGGAAUUAUUGGGCGUAAAGCGCGCGCAGGCGGAUAGGUCAGUCUGUCUUAAAAGUUCGGGGCUUAACCCCGUGAUGGGAUGGAAACUGCCAAUCUAGAGUAUCGGAGAGGAAAGUGGAAUUCCUAGUGUAGCGGUGAAAUGCGUAGAUAUUAGGAAGAACACCAGUGGCGAAGGCGACUUUCUGGACGAAAACUGACGCUGAGGCGCGAAAGCCAGGGGAGCGAACGGGAUUAGAUACCCCGGUAGUCCUGGCCGUAAACGAUGGGUACUAGGUGUAGGAGGUAUCGACCCCUUCUGUGCCGGAGUUAACGCAAUAAGUACCCCGCCUGGGGAGUACGACCGCA